CCAUUCGGUUGUUGGCGGAGUGGAGCUGAGGAGACGCGUCACAGCCUGGGAGGUGCCCAUUGACACUCAGACCGAAGACCGUUCCAGGAUGGACGUGCUGAGAAGCAUCUGUCACCUCAAAAGAAGGGCUGGCGUGUCUGGAUUUCCUCCGCAUCCUCUGCAGUGAAGACAGAAGCAAGGAACUUUUUUAGCUUCGCCGCAGUGGCCUGGUCUUCCUGGAGUGCUCCUUUAGCACCGAUUGCCUAGUGG